ACAACAAAAACAAGAAAGCUGAACCCCAUAACAAGAACAACACGUAGCGGCUCCGACACAAUAAAAACAAGCAUGUGGAGGCGUAGCAAACUGAUUCUUUUGGAGAGGAAUUGCCCGACAGGUCUCCUGUCGACCGGGCCGAGAACGACAAAACUGCCUCGAGGCAGCGCCAGAACCGGUUGAGCCCGCAAGGGCAGUGGCAACAUCAGCGACCAAAAUAAUCCGUUUGUUCUUUGAGUCCCGAAUGGGACCGCUUUUCGGACGCUCGUCCGACCGGGCCGCCAAUCAGAACAACAAGCCCGUCAGCAGAAAAAGAACAAAGCAAUAUCUCUUGGAGGGGGAGCCGCAAGGCUCCCCCUUUCUUAAUUCUGGUGCAUGCUCUUCAGGCUUCA
rnacentral:sRNA from 1 species